ACACCAUACAGAGUGACACUGCAGACUUCUGGAUUCAGCAGCCUGCUUUGGUGGGCGCACUGAGAAACCUUCAAUUUCCAUGGCCCAGUUUGUGCUCCAGAUUUAUAGAUGGGACUAGAAGGGCUUCUGGUUCCUUAUCUGGCCCACCUCGUUGUGCUGUUGUGAAGAUGAAAACUCCUGCUGUAUUGAAAACGUAAGAGGGUUUGGCCCUCCAUAAAUGUGCUGUUUCUCUGCACAGCACCUUCGAGGCAGAGGCAGGAGGAUCACAGAAAGUUUGAGGCCACCCUGGAUUCCAGAGCGAAUUCAAGGCUAACUUGGGCUAUAAAUGAAGAUCUUGAUGGAAACAAAACAACGUAAAACAAAA